UGGGUAGUCCGCACGAGCGCACCCCGUGUUCUGUUGCCACCCGGAUGAGAAUCCGGAGCACUCUGGACAGACUGCCUGGUUUCAACCAGGAGGAAGGUGGGGAUGACGUCAAGUCAGUAUGGCCCUUACGGCCAGGGCUGCACACGUACUACAAUGCCUGAUAUAAUGGGAAGCGAGACCGCGAGGUGGAGCAAAUCCUCAAAAUCAGGCCCAGUUCAGAUUGUAGGCUGCAACUCGCCUACAUGAAGGAGGAAUCGCUAGUAAUGCCGUAUCAGCUACGACGGCGUGAAUACGUUCCCAGGCCUUGUACACACCGCCCGUCACAUCAUGAAAGUCGAUUGUACCCGAAGUCGCUGCGUUAACCGCAAGGAGACAGGUGCCGAAGGUAUGGUUGGUAAUUGGGAUGAAGUCGUAACAAGGUAGCCGUAGGGGAACCUGUGGCUGGAUCACCUCCUUUCU
rnacentral:rRNA from 1 species